AGAAGAGACACACGAGUGUUUAUCCGGUGAAGAGUGUCUGAUGAAGGAAUGCUGCCAUCAAAGCCUCUCAAUCUUCUGUGGUGGAGCAGGACCUGCAAGGCAAGACUGCUGUGAGCGCUGAGGAUGGAGAGUCCACAGCAGCAUCCUGGAAAUGGUCCAGUGCCAUGAAUGAGACGCUCCAUCACUGCACCUGACCUUACUGCCUCAUCUGAACCAGAUGCUGCUGUGGUCUCUUCAUCAUCAGUGAGCUCAGAGCUAGCGAGAGCAUCUAGAGAAAGACCAAAAGACACUGAGGAUGUGAUA